CCACAGUACCUUCACUAAUGAGAUUUUCUUAUUUCGUAGUUCUUUUACUUCACGAGCCAAAAUACGAACCAGUUCUUCUUCGUAACUCAAAUCAGAUCGAAUCUCAACCUCUGAUGGAUUAAUUACAUACGAUGGAUCGGAUCUAUAAUGUCGAAGCAUCGAAACAUGAAAAACAUUAUGAAUCUUUCCAAGUUUAGGGGGUAAAAUCAAUCUGUAUGUGAC
rnacentral:lncRNA from 1 species